rnacentral:rRNA from 1 species
UACAGAGGUGGCAAGCGUUGUUCGGAAUUACUGGGCGUAAAGGGCGCGUAGGCGGCUCGACAAGUCCCGCGUGAAAGCCCCCGGCUCAACUGGGGAACUGCGCGGGAAACUGUCGGACUUGAGUUCGGGAGAGGGAAGCGGAAUUCCGGGUGUAGCGGUGAAAUGCGUAGAUAUCCGGAGGAACACCGGUGGCGAAGGCGGCUUCCUGGACCGACACUGACGCUGAGGCGCGAAAGCGUGGGGAGCAAACAGG